AUGACGCGAUGAAACAGGCGCGCAACGAUUCGGCUUCCGACGCACAUAUGUCAAUGGCACGCAGGAAGCAGAUCCGGGAUUCUCACCCCCACGAGGAACCCGGAGCCCUGAGCGGACAUCCAUGCGGCUGUGCACCGGCCCCGUGUGGAUGUCCGCUGUUUUUUUC
rnacentral:ncRNA from 1 species